GCGCCCAUUUAGCUCACUGGUAGAGCACAAGCUCAGCAGGCUUGGGGUAGCGGGUUCGAUUCCACGCAUGGGUGCA
rnacentral:tRNA from 1 species